GCGGGGCUGACCAGGGCCCUCCCCCUCCCCUGUGGGGUCAGGCUCUGCCCCCCUCACCAGCCUGUCGCUCGCUCGCUGGGCACCCCAUGGUGGGGGUCUUUGCUCCCUGGGAGGCUCAGGGUGUUAGAAACCUCCGGGGCUCUGCUCCAUGCAGACUAUUCAUUUCAGAGCAGAGGUUAAUUCCUACCUGGGGAUCCCUGGGAGCUGCAUAGAAGAGCCGGAUCUGAAAAGAUGAAGAGAAUUGGGGACAGCUUCUGAAGAGAAAAUGAUUAAUCCUUUUCACUCUAUCUGACUGCUCUAUAGAUUGAUCUUUUCUCCCUCUUUUGCUAUCAAUAUUGUACUUAGCUAAAUCUACAAAAAAAUUAAAUAAAUAGUUAUUAACAU